rnacentral:snRNA from 1 species
CGCAUUUUCUAGAUUAUUCCUUU